ensembl:lncRNA
ACCUGCACUGCAGAUGGGAUUCAAACACAAUCUUCCAACUGAAGCUGCACAACUCGUCUCAGGACAUAAUGAAGCUCAGGCUCUUUAUGUCCGUGCAGAAGGAUUUCAGCAAGAGGCAAAGUGAUAGGCUUCCCAGGUGGUGCUAGUGGAAAAGAACCCACCUGCCAGCGCAGGAGAUGCAGGAGAUGCAGGUUCGAUCCCUGGGUCAGGAAGAUCCCCUGGAGGAUGGCACGGCAACUGACUCCAAUACCUGGAGAAUCCCACGGACAGAGGAACCUAGGAGCACUUGAGGCACAGGGUUUGCGGCAAAGUUAAUUAUCACCUAGAUAUGAAGACUGAAGAUGCCAAGACUGUAAACAGAAGUCAGAAAUUAUGGCUCCAGGCCUCCUAUUCUCUGCUGAUUUACUCAGUUGUCAUCUUCCUUUUGCCACCCAUUGCCCUACUUCUUCAAUAAAAUGAGCUCUUGCCUAA